GACGAACGCUGGCGGCGUGCUUAACACAUGCGAGUCGAACGCUGAAGCUUGGUGCUUGCACUGGGUGGAUGAGUGGCGAACGGGUGAGUAAUACGUGAGUAACCUGCCCUUGACUCUGGGAUAAGCCUGGGAAACUGGGUCUAAUACUGGAUACGACAUGCCACUGCAUGGUGGUGUGUGGAAAGGGUUUUACUGGUUUUGGAUGGGCUCACGGCCUAUCAGCUUGUUGGUGGGGUAAUGGCCUACCAAGGCGACGACGGGUAGCCGGCCUGAGAGGGUGACCGGCCACACUGGGACUGAGACACGGCCCAGACUCCUACGGGAGGCAGCAGUGGGGAAUAUUGCACAAUGGGCGGAAGCCUGAUGCAGCGACGCCGCGUGAGGGAUGACGGCCUUCGGGUUGUAAACCUCUUUCAGCACGGAAGAAGCGAGAGUGACGGUACGUGCAGAAGAAGCGCCGGCUAACUACGUG
rnacentral:rRNA from 1 species